UAGGUGGGAGCACAACUAGUAUGGUUUGCCAUCAUAGAUGGGAUCGUGGCUCGUAUGGUUUGCCACCGUGGGUGGAAUUGUAGAUAUUACGGUUUGCCAGUCAUGGGCCGGAUAGCGACCGUGAUUAGUCUAUGAUCUUAAAGAUAACUGUUGAUUGAUUUGAUCAUGUUAAUGAUAUGUAGAUGAUAAGACAUAAAAUCAUAAUUAAGAAAAAAAGAGUUUUAUUUUUUUUUUGUUAAAACAAAACAGGAGUUGGAAC
rnacentral:lncRNA from 1 species